rnacentral:rRNA from 1 species
CCUACUACCCCUCCCGUCGUUGGUCCGUUCGUUCGUCCCCUACCCGAACCGACGUUAACGGUUAAGUUACCGUCCCCUCCGGGGAGGGUAACGGACGACCGCCGAACGAGUUGGAAACGUACCAAACGGAAAAGGUUAUAGGGGGACCCGGGGCCCGACCAAACGAACGGCCGGGACGGACGACUAGCGGACGUAAUUACGUAUAGCACGACGAGAACGUACCUAACGACGUGUACGACAGUUCUUCGAUCGCGUCGAGANAGUUCCCUUUCGGUCGGNGGUUCACNAGGUGGUGCAUGGUUGUCGUCAGCUCGUGUCGUGAGAUGUUGGGUUAAGUCCCGCAACGAGCGCAACCCUCGUUCCAUGUUGCCAGCACGUCGUGGUGGGGACUCAUGGGAGACUGCCGGGGUCAACUCGGAGGAAGGUGAGGACGACGUCAAAUCAUCAUGCCCCUUAUGUCUUGGGCUUC